CACACACACACACACACACACACACACAGAAAAAGGAGCCGGGCCCAACCCAUAGCUGCUCAUCAGAAUCCAAAGACGCACAGCUCCCAGCAAGCUCUCGGCCCAGUAUGAAGGGCAUUUGUAAGAGGGUAACAGCAACCCACAGCAUAGUCCACUGCGACGAAUGAACCAUUCAAUAUCCUCUCUGAAGAGAAAGAAGCAACAAAGCCUCCUUCCUGGCUCACGCUCGCCGGCACAGAGCCCAUGUGCAUCCUGCACGGGGAACAGCAAGCUUCAAAGAGAACCCCUGGCCUCAAGUCAAGACCUAAGAAAGUGUGACCAAGUGCACAGAUUACUAAGGAGCCUGUGCGCAUCUGGCAUCACAAGAGUGUGAGUCCCAAACGUGGCUGCACUGCAAAAUCAUGGAAAGCACCGAAAAGUCACCCACUUACAAAUCGGCAUCAGAAUCUCUGGGGAUGGUGCCGAUAUUUUUUUCCCAAAGGGUGCUCAGGCACAGCCAAGUUUGGGAACCGCUGCCCUGAGUAAGCAGAAGGUGGCAACAUGUUACCUUCUGACCACGGCAUGAACACGAAGACCUCCCAGAAGAGACAGUUGUCACCCUACCUUUGAGGAAUGGACAGGUCUGUAGAGGGAACUUCAGCAAAGGGCCCCCAUACUGAGGAGCCCCACCAAGACCAGGGUGACCUGUGCACAGGGUACUGGUUCCCUACAAAAAGCAGGUCGGCUGGAGCAGGUCCGUGGCGAGGCGAGAGGCUGGGACAGCUGGGGAGCGCCACAUCCCAUGGACUGGAGGAGAGGCUGGAACCUAAAGCUGGCAAAUUCCCUUCUCCUAUUCACGCCACUUUUUUGGCCUUGUGAGGGGGCGGCCCCACCUGAAGGUGAGAAGGCAGAAGACACCGUGAGCUCUACUCCCCAUCUUCUGGAAGCUCCCGCUGCCGCCACGCCACCAAGGAAGAAUCUGAAGGCAAUCUCUACGUCUCCAGCCUCACCCCAGCCUCACACUGUUCUUAAAGAACAGGACGACAAGCAGACCCCCUCUAGUUACAUGAGCCUCGUUUGUGACACCUCCUCCAUCCAGCCUGUCUAAAAUCUCUCCCUUCCCCACAUACCCUCCCCCAUCUCCCUUGGCAGUCUCUUGUCCUAUGGGCCCUCAUUUCUUAACGUUCUAGCUCUCUGGCCAUCCGGGGGAGAAAUAAAAAUGGAGCCUUUUGUACUGUGGAGUAAAUGUACUCAUGCUUCUCAGCUACAAAAGGUUUCCAACUGCAGCAGCUUUCACGGACUGAUUGUAGCAGGCAGGCAAUUUAGUAGACAUUGUGCAAUUGGGGAAUUACUCCAGGAAUAGCUGGAAAACCAAAUGAGAUGUCCCAGGAAACGUAGCAGCUUCUGGACAAACGCAUUCGGCCUGCACUUGCUCCUGGCGCACGUGUGCCAAGCACUGGCCAAGUCCACGGCUGGGCCCUGCCUUUCGGGAGGGCCGACUUCAGACAGACCCACACAGGGACUCGGGCAGUUGGCUGUACGCUCCGGAACUGCCAGACUCUCUACGGAAGCAUGACUGGCGGGAAGCGGGCCGUGAACUCGCCCCGUGUAUCUCCAUGUUCCAUACGCCAUCACGGGUCACUCAUGGGAGAAGCUUGCCUAUCUACGCAUGUUUCUGGGUAACCUCAGUAUUAAUCUUUCUCUUGUCCCCUCUCAGUACAUCCUCAGGUGAAAAGGCAGUUUUUAAAGCACUAACGAAAUCAAAAAUAAAUGUGAGAGAAUCGGUGCCUCGUCCCUGAAGGCUGGGAAUCGUCCAUGACUACCUGACAGAGAUGUGGUUCCAGAGGUUUCUCCAACACAGAAUGCCUCCACAUCUGCAAGUCCAGUGUGGGCACUCUGAACACAUUUCCCAUAGAGACAACAUACAAAUCAGGGUUCACUGUCGGAGCAGGCUGACAGAGCUCCGUGUUAACUCACGUGGUACCAAAAGCAUAGUGCCAUCCUAUUGUUUCCAUAUUUUUACCAAGAUAUAAUUCCCACACAGUUCACCCUUUUAAAGUGUACAACUUAGUGGCUUUUAGCAUACUCCCAAAGUUGGGCAACUAUCACCUGUAUCUAAUUUUAGAACAUUCUGUCACCCCCUGAAAAAAGCCUGU